rnacentral:rRNA from 1 species
UUAAGCAUAUCAAUAAGCGGAGGAAAGGAAACUAACAAGGAUUCCCUUAGUAACGGCGAGCGAAGUGGGAACAGUUCGAGCCUGUAAUCUCCGGCAGGUGCUGCCGGCGAGUUGUGGCCGGGAGAAGGCGAAUUUGUCUUACCUUGCGGCGCCAAAGUUGACCUGGAAGGGCACGUCAAAGAGGGUGAGAGCCCCGUGCGCGGCCUUGCGAGGUACGGCAGUGUUUGUCUUCCGCGAGUCGGGUUGUUUGGGAAUGCAGCCCAAAGAUGGUGGUAAACUCCACUUAAAGCUAAAUACUGGCACGAGACCGAUAGCAAACAAGUACCGUGAGGGAAAGGUGAAAAGCACUUUGAAAAGAGAGUCAAAGAGACCGCGAACCCGUUAGGAGGGAAACGAAUGCAGCCAUGAAGGCUCCGUUCAGGUUCAGGGCGUCUUGGCUGGGCGAGUAAGGUCUCGUCGGACCCGUUUCGGGCCGCGUGGCUUCUCGUCCUGGAAGACUCCUGCAAUCCCGUCUGGAGUCCGCCAACGGAGGCCUAUCCCGGGCGAUGAGGGUCGCAGGGCAGGUGUCUUUCCUGAGCUCCACUAGGUGUUUUGGGGAAGGACUUAUAGCCUUCGGUCUGGCGUACCGGGAUUGGCGUAGGAAAGUCGCGACAUUUCGCGCGUUGUAGCGUAGGCUCCGUAGGGGCCGGGUCGCUUCUGUCCUUGCGUGCUUCGCGGCGAGGCACUGCUCGCAGUGUCCGUUGACGGUAAGUGCGCUUGGUCGGGAGACGGGCCACGAUCUGCGCUGCGGUCGUUGGUGUGCGUAUGGCUCCAUCCGACCCGUCUU